ensembl:snoRNA small nucleolar RNA SNORA22
UUGCACAGUGAACACCAGUGUGCUCUCUGGUUCCCUGGGCUUUGACUCUGUGCUACAGCAGUGUCUGUUCUUUUCCUCUGUAGUGAAGGGAUUAUGUAUCCUUGUAAAUGUAUUCAGGAAGUCCGCACACUA